rnacentral:rRNA from 1 species
UACCAUCACCCCGAGUGGUCGGGACGUUUAUUGGGCCUAAAGCAUCCGUAGCCGGUUCUACAAGUCUUCCGUUAAAUCCACCUGCUUAACAGAUGGGCUGCGGAAGAUACUAUAGAGCUAGGAGGCGGGAGAGGCAAGCGGUACUCGAUGGGUAGGGGUAAAAUCCGUUGAUCCAUUGAAGACCACCAGUGGCGAAGGCGGCUUGCCAGAACGCGCUCGACGGUGAGGGAUGAAAGCUGGGGGAGCAAACCGG